CCUACGGGCGGCAGCAGUGAGGAAUAUUGGUCAAUGGGCGGAAGCCUGAACCAGCCAAGUAGCGUGCGGGAUGAAGGCCCUACGGGUCGUAAACCGCUUUUGCACGGGGAUAACACCCUCCACUUGUUGAGGUCUGCAUGUACCGUUCGAAUAAGGGCCGGCUAAUUCCGUGCCAGCAGCCGCGGUAAUACGGAAGGCCCGAGCGUUAUCCGGCUGCAUUGGGCUUAAAGGGAGCGUAGGCGGGCGUUCAAGUCAGCUGUAAAAUCGCGCGGUUCAACCGCGCCCCGCAGUUGAAACUGGACGCCUUGAGUGCACAAGAGGUAGGUGGAAUUCGUGGUGUAGCGGUGAAAUGCAUAGAUAUCAAGAGGAACCCCGAUUGCGAAGGCAGCCUGCCGGGGUGCGACUGACGCUGAGGCUCGAAGGUGUGGGGAUCAAACAGGAUUAGAUACCCCUGUAGUC
rnacentral:rRNA from 1 species